GUGGGCCUGAAUCAAAAAUAUCAGAAAUAAAAAAAUUUCUCACCUGAGCGGACGUGUGAUUUUCGGAGCGGAAUCGUCGCGCGCGGAUGUUCGGAAAAACGCUGUAAAACAUCGGUUCGGAGUGCGCGUUGCCGUCGAUUUCGACGGAUAUUAAUAACAAAAAAUAUAAUAUUCUGACAAAGGUAUUUUAUUUGAAAAUAAUAACUCGCUGAGCGGGGAAAAUAGAGUGUUUUCUACCGGAUUAGAGCGCGAAUGUGUGGUGUGUGAAUAAAUAAAGCCUGGCUCCGGAAAUGGGGCGAUUAUUAAUGUUAUUUUGUGGCUAAUUUCUAAACAGAAAUUCAUAGCGAGUCCAAGUGAGUGCCAAUUGUGAGACAAAAUGGCUGCAUUUCAACGCAUUUAAUGCCCAACAAACAUGACGCGUGAUGCUUCGUAGCAACAACCAGAAAUCCCGAAAAUACAAUUUAAUAAAUAAAA